rnacentral:rRNA from 1 species
GACGAACGCUGGCGGCGUGCUUAACACAUGCAAGUCGAACGGAAAGGCCCUGCUUUUGUGGGGUGCUCUAGUUGCGAACUGGUGAGUAACCCUUGAGUAACCUGCCCUUGACUUUGGGAUAACUUCAUGAAACUGGGUCUAAUACCGGCUAGGAGCUCCUGCUGCAUGGUGGGGGUUGGAUAGUUUCGGCGGUUGGGGAUGGACUCGCGGCGUAUCAGCUUGUUGGUGGGGUAGUGGCUUACCAAGGCUUUGACGGGUAGCCGGCCUGAGAGGGUGACCGGCCAAAUUGGGACUGAGAUACGGCCCAGACUACUACGGGAGGGAGCAGUGGGGAAUAUUGCACAAUGGGCGGAAGCCUGAUGCAGCAAAGCAGCGUGGGGGAUGACGGCCUUCGGGUUGGAAUCCGCUUUCGCCUGUGACGAAGCGUGAGUGACGGUAAUGGGUAAAGAAGCACCGGCUAACUACGUG